GGCUCGAACCCACUAACUGUGAGAUCAUGACCUGAACGGAAGUCAAGAGUCAGACACUUAACCAACUGAGCUACCCAGGUGCCACAAAUGUUAUUCUCUCUUAAAACAAACAAACAAAAAAACCUCUCGUGACUCCAUUUUCCCCUCUAGCUACCAUUCCACUUCUCUGCGCCCCUUUAUAGUGAAUUUGUUAAAACAACAACAACAACAAAUGAUGUCUAUAUUCCCUAUUUCUAUUUCCCUGUUUCCUCUUUUCCUUAAACUCCUUCCAGUCAGAGUUUGUCCCCUCCCCCAACACCACCCAUCAAAACCUGUUCUGACCCGGGUCACUGAUGACUUCAUAAAUCAAAUGGUCAGUUCUCAUCGACAGCAUUUGAGAGAGUUGGUCACUCCUCCUGGGAGCUAUGUGGCGGCUAAGCAACCACACUCACCUGGUUCUUCUGCUACAUCACUGGACCCUCUCUCCUAGUCUGCCUUCCUGAUUUCACUUCUCUCCAACCUCUUGUCAAGUUUUAUCAGAUAAGAUACGGAUUCAUUUCAUAUUCUCAUCUCAUAGCUGAAUGUUUGUGUCCUUCUGCCCCAAAUUCAUGUCAGAAUCUGAGGCGCAGUGUGAUGUUAUUUGGAGGUGGGGAUUUUGAGAAGGGAUUAGGUCAUGAAGGUGGAGUGGGAUUAAUGCCAAGAGACUCCAGAGAGCUCCCUUGCCCUUUCUGCCAUUGGAGAACACAGCCAGAAGACAGCCGUCUGUGACUCAAGCAGCAGGCCCUCACCAGACAGAGUCGGUCCCGGACUUCCCGACCUCUAGAACUCUGAGGAAUACGUUUCUGUUGUUUAUAAGCCACCCAGCCUACGGUAUUCUGUUUUAGUAGCUGGAAUGGACUAGGACUUUCUCCAACCUUCAAAUGAAUUGCAAUUGUCUUGGGAAAUUAUUUUAACAGUGUAGGAAACCACUGUAAUGUAAAUUACGUAUCUUCAUAACCAGCAAUAUGGGUUUAUCAGUUAGUAUGAGCCAGAGUAAGCGGAAGUAACCUAUAAACCCUGAAUCUCAGUGGUUUACAAAACAAAAGUUUAUUUUCAGUCUGACUCAGGUUAGUAGGGGGAGUGUGCUCAUCCAGGCUGAUAGAGAUUCUUUUGUUUUUUAAUUUUUUUAAAUUUUACUAAAUUUUUUUUGUAAUGCUUAUUUAUUUUUGAGAGAGAGAGAGAGAGAGAGAGCAAGGGAGGAGCAGAGAGAGAGGGAGACACAGAAUCUGAGCUGUCAGCACAGAGCCGGACGCGGGGCUCAAACCCAUGAACAGUGAAAUCAUGACCUGAACCAAAGUCAAGAGUCAGACACUUAACCAACUGAGCCACCCAGGUGCCCCCAGGCUGAUAGAGAUUCUAUGUUAAUAGACCUCUAUUUUGCUGACUGCUUCAGCAGGGGAAUACAGCAUAACAACCAUACACGGGCUCUUAAAGCUCCUCACUAAAAAUUAUGCACAUCACUUCUUGCGUCUGUUUAGUCAAAGUAAGUCUUGUGGCCAUACCAAACCUCAAAAGGGGCACAGAAAUACCAUCCCGACCACGUGCCCAGAAGGUGGAGAGCCAGAAAUAUUUGAUGAACUCAGUAUUGACCAUCUCAAUAGGUUUUAUGUUAAACAUCCUCAAUCUUAAAAGAAAACAUUACCAACUGGGCUCCUUUGUAUUAAGAGACAAUGUUAUCUGGAAGAAAAUGUGGCUAAAGCGCCCCUGACUUAACCAGUGGUCUUUUUACCUCCCGUAAUUGAAAAGAGUUCCUAUGGCUUUGCAGGUGCAGCCAAAUUUGGGAAAGCCAUGUGAUGCUUGCUGCUCUGCCUUUCAUCUCAGGCUUUGAUAAAAAAUGUCCAUCUCCUCUCUGAAUUCACAGCUUGCCAGGCGGUCUGUUGCAGUGGAGGAUUUCUGGAAGGUCCAUAACCCCACUGAGGGAUUUGAAACUGUACUUCAGCAGUACAGCUCAAGAGUUUCUUAUUUCCUGAAUUUAUGCACCCCUCCCCCCCAAAAAAAGCCAGACUCUUCCUUCCAUCUUUCCAAUCUUGUCUCUACCCACUCCACAUAAGCACUCAUACAUUCAUCCUGAUACACACGCCCCAUCGAAUGACUCUCUUUCGGGACCUGGUGUUGUAAUUCUACAUUUGUCCCCCCCUCCAAAGUCCUUCCCAUCAUUCAAAGAUCUACUCAAAUUUCAUCUUUUUCUAGAUCUCACACCCUGCCAAGUUCUGAUGCCAUUUGGCUUUUUUCCCCUUCUGUUUCUCAUUGUAUUUUUGUUGUUGCUGUUUUUGUUCUAUUAGGCACUUCCUGGCUUCAUUGAAUUGAAUAAUUCUCUGUAUGUGUGUGUAUCAACACAACUGUGUGAAAAGAAGAGUAUCUUACUUAGCUUUGUAUAUCAAAAUGGCCCCCUCUCCUUUCCCCAGUGCCUGGCCUAGACUCUGGUCCUCAGUAAAUGUUUGUAAUAAUAUACUCUCUGUGUUGGAAUAUCUUCUUUCUGAACCUACCAACAAUUGGAAACGCUUCUAGCUUUAAUCAACUUUCUUUUCUCUUCUGAUCUUAUUAUGUGUGGUCUCACUGUGAGUGUUUCAGUUAGUUCAACUCUAAAUGCCAGAUUUACUUCCAAGAAGCCUAAAUCUUAACAUUUAAAUAUGAGAUUAUAUCUUCUGGGCUCAUAUCUUGUCUGUAUCUUGUGGGAUAAAGGGCUGAAGGAAGGAGAUCGUUGAACACCCAAUAUGAGAAGAACCUUUCUGUAUUAGUUGGGGUUAUUAAUGUGAGUUGUUAUAACAAAAAAAAAACAAACCAAAAUCUCAGUGGCUCAACACAAUUUUUCAUGCAUAUCAUAGUCCAAGGCAGGACAUGUGGCUCCUCUUUAAGUAGUGACUUGGGACCCAAACUUCUUCCAUGUUGUAGUGAGGCCAUCACCUAGGGCCUUCUGGAUUCUCUGCAUUCAGCUGACUGACAGGCCCAGACAGCCCAUGGAACUUGCAGGGGUUUUAUGCCCAUGCCUGGAAACAGGAGGCAUCACUUUAGCCUAUAAUUCUCUGGCUAACACCUCCACCUAGUAAUAAGGAUUGCUGGGAAAUCGAUUCCACUGGUGUACCAAGACAAAGAAGAGAGGAUUGGUAAACAUCUACCUUGUUACUUUCAAAGGACCUACAAAGUUAUUUCUUCACUGUGCAAUAUUGAGACAUUGUUCCAACACUUUCUUGAACAGGGAGAUUUGAAUCCAUGUAAAGGGGGCACGGGGAGCUUCCCUGUAACCACGCUGAAUUUCUAGUCCUCUCCUUUGUCUAUAAAUCCCAGAAUUUACUCUCAAAGCCACCCCUCCCCCCAACAACAACGACAACAACAACAAAAAGAAUAAAGAGAUAGGUAUGCAGUCUCUUCCAUCAGGUUAUUCUCUUCUCUCCCUGAACCCAGGCUACAGGAAACGUUCUCAGAGAAUGUUUUUCAACCUUAACAGAGCAUUAGGGUCAAUGUGAGCUUCUGAACCAUUCCAUUGAACAUUACUCCCUCCUCCUAGAAACACUUCCUUCCCUCAGCCUCCAGGAUCCCACUCUUUCUUGACUUUCCUCCUGUCUAUCCCAUCCUAUCUCCUUUUUCUGUUUUUUCUUCUUUCCACUAGCCUUAAAUAGUAGGGUGCUCCAGGGCUCAGCCCUGGAAACUUGUCUCAUCUCUGUCCAAGCUCAUUCCCUUGAUGAUUGUAUUAGUUUUCUAUUUAUGGCAUAAUACGUUACCACAAACCAAGUGGCUUACAUGGACAUCCCUUGUCGACUCACAGUUCUGUAGGUCAGAAGUCAAUGCGUGGUGUGGAUGGGUCCUCUGCUCAGGGUCUCAGAAACGGAAGUCAGCGGGUCAGCUGGGCUGCAUUCUCAUCUGCAGGUUCUGGAGAAGACCUGCUUUCCAAGCUCAGUCACGCUCAGCUUUAGAGUUCAGUUCCACAAGAUUGUAGGACUGAGGCCCCCAUUCUCCCUCUGGUUUUCAGCUGGGAACUGCCCUUGGCUCCUACAGGCUGCCUACGUUCCUUGCCAUGUGGCUCCCAUCCUCCAGCUUCAAAGCUAGAGAUGGAGACUUUCUUAUGCAUGUAAUCCCUCUUGCUUCAAAUUCCUCUCCUCUCCCGUCUCUGCCCUCUAGAGCCAGAUUCAGAGGGCUCAUGGAAUUAGGUCAGGUGCACUUGAUUAUCCCCUUUGACUAAAUCGAAGUCAGCUGAUUAGUAACAACUAUGGACUGAAUGUUGGUAUCUGCUCCCCAUUCAUAUGCUGAGCCCCUAACCCCUAGCCAGUGUGAUGGUAUUUGGAGAUGGGACCUUUGGGAGGUAAUUAGGGUUUGAAGAGGUCAUGAGGGUGGGGCCUUCAUGAUGGGUUUAGUGCCCUUGUAACAAGACAUGCCAGGGGGCUUCCUCUUUGUGCCCUCCCACCCCAUCCCUCAGCUGCUCUCUUUCUCUCUCGCUACCAGGCAGGGACACAGCAAGGCAGUGGCCAUCUGUAAACCAGGAAGAGACUUCUCCCUGGUAACUGACCAUGCUGGCACCCUGGUCUCAGACUUCUAUCCUCCCAGUCAGUGGGAUUUUGUUACGGCAGCCCUAGCAGACCUAUACAGUAACCUUAGUUAUACCUGCAAAAUCCCCUUUGCCAUAUACUGUAAUGUAAUCAUAGGAGAAAAAUCUCACUAUGUUCACAGAAUCCACCCCUAGUUAAGGGGAAGAGAUUCUAAAAUCUCUGGAGAGGGUGAUAAUGUUAGAGUGGUGUUCGCCUCAAUAAUCCCACUUAGUCUCAUGGCUUUAAAUAUCAUCUAUAUGCUCAUGAUUCUCAAAUUUAUUUCUCCAGUGUAGACCUGUCUCCAAACCUAGACUUUCUAUCUACCUCCUAGACGUUUCCACUUGGAUGUUUUCCAGGCGCCUCGAACUUCACAUAGAUGCCACCAAAUUCUCCGUCUUCCCGCGCAGACCUGCUCCUCACAUAAUCUUUCGACCUCAGCCAUCAGGAAGUCCUCUGGAGUCUAGCUUCAAGGGCCCACGCCGUCAGAAUCUCUCAUAUGAAUUACUGCAACAAUCCCUGUUCCAGUUCCUAUUGCUGCCUAAACAAAUCACCGCAGAUGUAACAACUUCAAACAACACCGACUUCCUAUCUUGCAAAUGUGAAGUGCCCAGAACAGUGUCAGACGCGCAGAGGCACCCAGGAAAUGUUUGUCAGAUGAUCGAAUCCAUGAGUAUGAAAUGGACAUCCUGGCCUGCCCUACAUGGAGGAGAUGUUGGGUUGGGACCAGCAGAAAGGAGUUGGACCUUCCAUCCCGUGGAGUGCCCUCUACUCGUCAGACAAAACUGUAAGUGCCACGAAGACCAGGCUGGUGUCGCAUCAGAGGACCUGGCAUGCAGCAGAUUCUUGGUAAAUGUUUGCUGAAUACAGUUGAUGUCGCUGUGCUGGAUUCUGCACAUACAUGAUCUCAUCUCACCCCCUACGACCUGUAAAUUGUGAAUUUCAUUUUACCACUUUGACCCUUCUCACAGUGAGCCAAGGGAGACGUUACAGUGUGAGAGCACACUGCGAGGUGUCACAGUAUUUCUGGAGAGGAGUUUCGGUCACCCAGUCCACCCUGUACAUCCCAGGCUGUAUCCCUCUCCACAAAUGUGCACACUUUUGAAAGUGUUAGGCCGUGGGAGGACAGCGUGCUGCAGUGAUAAGCAUGUGGGGUCAGCCCUGGAGAGGUCUGACCGUCAUCUGGCCACUGACCGGCUGUGCGACCCUGGAGUAGUUACAUAAUCUUGCUAAGCCUCCCUUUCGUUGUCUUUAAAAAUAGGGCCAAUCAUCUCACCUUGUAGGGAUAUUGCGGGGAUUAACUGAGAUCAUGCAGGUGCAAAUACCCAGCAGAAUGCUCGCUACAAUGAUAAGAGUUUCCCUCCUUCCUUUUUGAGAGCCCGAAUCCACCUCUCGGACGUCUACCCUUUCACGGGAGCCUUGCUCUUGGGAGCAGCGGAGAAUGAAACACCUCUCCCUUCCAAACAGCUUUCAAGGCAGUUAUCUUGUUCUCCCUCAAUCUUCUCUUUCUAAAGGUGAAAAUGCUCAGUUCAUUCGACCAUUCCUUAUGAAACCGGUUUUGAUUUCUAAGUGGGCACUAGCUUGACAACACAGCUUCCGAAAUGUGCUGUCUGGGGAGGACUUCUCCGAGAACCGAGCUCGAGUACUUUUGUUGUGUUUAGUUCCUAUCGUACCCCCAGCGCCUGGAGAAGUGCCAGCACAUAGUGGGUCCUCAAUAAACACGUGUCUAUUUAAACAAGGAGUCUACAGAGGUGCUCCGUAUUGCUUUUUGUGGGGCUCACACUGCUUUUAAUGUCAGCUCUCCUCACAUCUCAAUGG